AUUGAACGCUGGCGGCAUGCCUUACACAUGCAAGUCGAACGGCAGCACGGGUGUUUGCACCUGGUGGCGAGUGGCGAACGGGUGAGUAAUACAUCGGAACGUACCUUAUCGUGGGGGAUAACGCAGCGAAAGCUGUGCUAAUACCGCAUACGCCCUGAGGGGGAAAGCGGGGGAUCGAAAGACCUCGCGCGAUUAGAGCGGCCGAUGCCUGAUUAGCUUGUUGGUGGGGUAAAAGCCCACCAAGGCGACGAGCAGUAGCUGGUCUGAGAGGACGAUCAGCCACACUGGGACUGAGACACGGCCCAGACUCCUACGGGAGGCAGCAGUGGGGAAUUUUGGACAAUGGGGGCAACCCUGAUCCAGCAAUGCCGCGUGAGUGAAGAAGGCCUUCGGGUUGUAAAGCUCUUUUGUCAGGGAAGAAACACCGGCUCUAACACAGUCCGGGAAUGACGGUACCUGAAGAAUAAGCACCGGCUAACUACGUGCCAGCAGCCGCAGUAA
rnacentral:rRNA from 1 species